GCCAGAAACAGCAACCCUUCUGGGUCCCCUUCCACCACGCAGAAGCUUUACUUUCGCUUUCACUUUACUUUUGCUUUCACUUUAACAAAUCUUGCAGCCGCACACUCUUUGGGUCCGCCCGUUUCUCUAAUCAAGUUGUAACACUCGCUGCUGUGGUCCACAGCUUCAUUCCUUGAAGCCCGUGAGACACGAACGCUUCCAUUGAGAAAAACCUUCCAUCAGAAGAAGACUUCUCGUCUCAGUGGGACUGCUGAGUUGAAUGAGACGAGGUUUCACCAUGUUACCCAAGCUGAUCUCGAACUCCUGGGUUCAUGCGAUCCACCUGACUCAGCCUCACAAAGUGGUAGGACUACAGGCCCUAUACAUCAAAAGGUGAAGCUGGGUCAUGAAGGUCAUGAAGGCCCUCAGUGUGCAGCCUCUGUAAACCUGCUAAAACUAUUCUAUGAAAAUGAACAGGACUAUUCUUCCUCAAACAAAGAGAUCGUGUGAUGAAGACUCACCAGAGCUGUUCUCUAUAAGCUUGAAGAGCAAUGGUAUCAGGUGCUUUUUUUUCUGAAGCUUUGGUAGUGUAACUGUAAGAGUCCUGGAAUUGGAAAAGCAAAUCCAGAAGUUGAGUUCCAUGACUUUUUUGCUGUUUGCCUUUGGACUUGCAUCAUUUAUAUUUUUAAUUCAUCGAGGAUGAGAAAAUUGAUUAACACAAAAUCUUUUCAUGUCUUUUCUGAUGAGAGACUAGCUGAAUCCAAGAAGAGAAGCCCUUGAAGAGUGUAUUCUAUUCUAGACAAGCAUUCACACAUUGGCUUCUUUGGUGCCAGAUUAAAGAAUGAAGAAAGGAUCAAAUUGAGACAUCCAGGGGGGAAGAGUUCCCUGGCAAAACUCCAAUCUGCCUGAGCACUGAGGUGGAGCCACAGAAGUCCGGGUCAUUUGCACCUGGGAGGAGCCUGGCCCCUCCUCUUCCUGUGUGGAAUCUGGGAUUUAAUCUGUGAGGAGGGAAGGCCAAGGGCAGGAAGCACAGGCUCUCACUUCACUAAGAGUCUCUGUUUCCCCUUUUUUUCCUUUAUGCCUAAUUAAUAAAUCCCAUUUUUCUCACUCUUCAAAUAGUCUUCAAGCCUAAAUUUUCAUGACCAUGGAACAAGGACCCCAUCUUUAGCUGAACUAAGGAAAAGUCCUGCAACAAAAUUCUUUGCUAAAAAUACAUGAGGUUGCCUUUUCCUUCUUAAUCUUAAAAGAAAUAUAUUUCAAUGGUUAACGUUUUAGUAAUUCAAAAAUUAUCAAGCAUUUGUUCACAACCAUAAGAUGUGCAUUGUUUUAUAUUCCUACUUAAUAAUAGACUAUAAUUGUCUAAUUAGACUGCCGAUGUUGAUCUUUGUGGCUCAUUGCAUUGAUUAUAAGCAGUGUUUUGGGUUUGUGUGUGUGUGUCAAAUUUAGGGUUUUUUUGGUAUGGCUGCUGGUUGGUGUAGCCUGUAUCCAGUAUCCUGUAUUAAUUCUAAUAUUUGCAUUUUGAACAUAUUUACAAGUUGCUAAAAUAGCAAAGCUUCGAGAUGAGCCUGGCUGAUAUGGCAAAACCCCGUCUCUACUAAAAAUACAAAAAUUAGCCUGGUGUGGUGGUGCAUGCCUGUAAUCCCAGCUACUUGGAAGUCUGAGGCAGGAGAAUCUCUUGAACCCAGAAGGUGGAGGUUGCAGUGGGCCAAGAUCGCACCACUGCACUCCAGCCUCGGUGAUAGAGCGAGACUACGUCUCAAAAAUAAAAUAAAAUAAAAUAAAAUAAAAAUAGCAAAGCUAUGUAUGGUUUCUCUGAGUUUUGUAAUUUAUCAUUGUUAACUGCAGAAAUUUAUUAUAUGAGACAUAUUAUAUGAGACAUAUAAGUGAAUUUGGAUUGGGUUUAAUUUUAUAUUUUUGAAUAUAGUUCUUCAAGAUAAAUUUUAUCUUAGACCUCAAGAAAUAAAAAUAAAAUAAAUUAGAUAUACAAACGA
rnacentral:lncRNA from 10 species